GACGAACGCUGGCGGCGUGCUUAACACAUGCAAGUCGAACGGACAGGCCCUGCUUUUGUGGGGUGCUCGAGUGGCGAACGGGUGAGUAACACGUGAGUAACCUGCCCUUGACUUUGUGAUAACUUCAGGAAACUGCGGCUCAUACCGGAUAGGAUCUCCUGCUGCAUAGGGGUGGUUGGAAAGUUUCGGCGGUUGGGGAUGGACUCGCGGCUUAUCAGCUUGUUGGUGGGGUAGUGGCUUACCAAGGGUUUGACGGGUAGCCGGCCUUAGAGGGUGACCGGCCACAUUGGGACUGAGAUACGGCCCAGACUCCUACGGGAGGCAGAAGUGGGGAAUAUUGCACAAUGGGCGGAAGCCUGAUGCAGCAACGCCGCGUGCGGGAUGACGGCCUUCGGGUUGUAAACCGCUUUCGCCUGUGACGAAGCGUGAGUGACGGUAAUGGGUAAAGAAGCACCGGCUAACUACGUG
rnacentral:rRNA from 1 species